rnacentral:rRNA from 1 species
AGAGUUUGAUCUGGCUCAGGACGAACGCUGGCGGCGUGCUUAACACAUGCAAGUCGAGCGGAAAGGCCCUUCGGGGUACUCGAGCGGCGAACGGGUGAGUAACACGUGAGCAACCUGCCCCAUGCUUUGGGAUAACCCUCGGAAACGGGGGCUAAUACCGAAUAUUCACAGGUCAUCGCAUGUUGGUUUGUGGAAAGUUUUUCGGCGUGGGAUGGGCUCGCGGCCUAUCAGCUUGUUGGUGGGGUAAUGGCCUACCAAGGCGACGACGGGUAGCCGGCCUGAGAGGGCGACCGGCCACACUGGGACUGAGACACGGCCCAGACUCCUACGGGAGGCAGCAGUGGGGAAUAUUGCACAAUGGGCGGAAGCCUGAUGCAGCGACGCCGCGUGAGGGAUGACGGCCUUCGGGUUGUAAACCUCUUUCAGCAGGGACGAAGCGCAAGUGACGGUACCUGCAGAAGAAGCGCCGGCCAACUACGUGCCAGCAGCCGCGGUAAGACGUAGGGCGCGAGCGUUGUCCGGAUUUAUUGGGGCGUAAAGAGCUCGUAGGCGGCUUGUCGCGUCGACUGUGAAAACCCGCGGCUCAACCGCGGGCCUGCAGCCGAUACGGGCAGGCUAGAGUUCGGUAGGGGAGAUGGAAUUCCUGGUGUAGCGGUGAAAUGCGCAGAUAUCAGGGGAACACCGAUGGCGAAGGCAGGUCUCUGGGCCGAUACUGACGCUGAGGAGCGAAAGCGGGGGAGGAACAGGAUUAGAUACCCUAGUAGUCC